rnacentral:rRNA from 1 species
GAUGAACGCUGGCGGCGCGCCUAACACAUGCAAGUCGAACGGCACCCCUCCUCGGAGGGCAGCGAGUGGCGAACGGCUGAGUAACACGUGGAGAACCUGCCCCCUCCCCCGGGAUAGCCGCCCGAAAGGACGGGUAAUACCGGAUACCCCGGGGUGCCGCAUGGCACCCCGGCUAAAGCCCCGACGGGAGGGGAUGGCUCCGCGGCCCAUCAGGUAGACGGCGGGGUGACGGCCCACCGUGCCGACAACGGGUAGCCGGGUUGAGAGACCGACCGGCCAGAUUGGGACUGAGACACGGCCCAGACUCCUACGGGAGGCAGCAGUGGGGAAUCUUGCGCAAUGGGGGGAACCCUGACGCAGCGACGCCGCGUGCGGGACGGAGGCCUUCGGGUCGUAAACCGCUUUCAGCAGGGAAGAGUCAAGACUGUACCUGCAGAAGAAGCCCCGGCUAACUACGUG